GAAGAAUGGAGCAAGGAGGGGCUUCCUUAGCUUUGGUGAAAGCCGAGGGCGCUGGAUCCGAGGCUCAGUUCAUUCUGGUUCUUCCCUUGGCGGAGCACCGUAUAACGCGAGCCUGCCACGCCGCAGCCCAUGGGGAGACCACAGUAUAAUCGUAGCUGCACGUGUUUAAGGGGGAAAGACCACACCUGAUGAGGAGACAGGAGAGGGCUGCAGACCUGAGAGAGAGGACUUCAGAGGAAAACAUCCUUCCAGUGCAGAAGAAUGGAGUCAGGCCAAAGGAGAUGUGUUGGCUACUUCGAAUUAAAUGGGAGUAGGUAAAUUGGAAACGCUGCCCAAGACCAGGCACCCUGAGGCUUUGCCAGCUUCUACAUGGGAGGUUAUGGAGCAGCAUUCCAGGAGAU